rnacentral:rRNA from 1 species
CCUACGGGAGGCAGCAGUGAGGAAUAUUGGUCAAUGGACGAGAGUCUGAACCAGCCAAGUAGCGUGAAGGAUGACUGCCCUAUGGGUUGUAAACUUCUUUUAUAAAGGAAUAAAACGAGGCACGUGUGCCUUUUUGCAUGUACUUUAUGAAUAAGGAACGGCUAACUCCGUGCCAGCAGCCGCGGUAAUACCGAGGAUACGAGCGUUAUCCGGAUUUAGUGGGUUUAAAGGGAGCGUAGAUGGGUUGUUAAGUCAGUUGUGAAAGUUUGCGGCUCAACCGUAAAAUUGCAAUUGAUACUGGCAGUCUUGAGUACAGUUGAGGUAGGCGGAAUUCGUGGUGUAGCGGUGAAAUGCUUAGAUAUCACGAAGAACCCCGAUUGCGAAGGCAGCUUACUAAACUGUGACUGACAUUGAUGCUCGAAAGUGUGGGUAUCAAACAGGAUUAGAUACCCCAGUAGUC